CAUUAAGGGUCUGUUCCAAUUGGCGAAUUAAAAUUAAUUUUUACUUAAAUUUGACAGUCCGACACUUAAACUUGACAGUUCUCCUAAGGAAAUAAUUAUCGAACUGUCAAGUUUAAGUGAAAAUUAAUUUUAAUUCUCCAAUUGGAACAGACCCUAAAGGUAUGAAUCAAGUAAGACCCAUGUUUGACUAAUCAUACAAAAUAUAUCAACAAUUUAUUUGCAAAUGAGUGUUAUAAUCUACUAGCUGUCCCGGCAAACGUUGUCUUGCCAAGCUGUGGCGGUUUGACAACUGUUGAGGUCAUCGUAGCAACGCACUCUAGAUUGAUUUAAUUUCGAUCACGCUGAAUUUCUUCUCGGCUCAUAAGAAAAUCAGUAUUGCUGUGUGCGUUCAAGAUGCAAACGGUGCCCAAAUGCGCUUCAAACGCGGUAACACAUGUUACCAAAGGCAACGUAGCAACCAUAGGGCAGUGCAUACUGCGGUUGCUAAGGAAAAAUUUUCUAAGUCUCUGACGUUUCGUGGCCUUGUUGUUUACAGUUUGGACUUAGAGAAUUUCAGUCGAAUUUUCGUUUUGUCCGGGAAGAGAUCCAGUGAUGAUGGUCGAGCCCAGAAUAUUUCAAGCCAGCGCCAAUUGGGUCAUUCUGGCCGAACGAGUUCCACCGAACCAGGAAAUAUUCGUGACCGAAACCUAUUUGAUGAGGGUAAACCAUAUUUGAAGCGGAUCUUCUACCAGCUUCUAUUAUAAUACUGCGAUGGCGCAGAUCCACCCCCAGAAGACAUGGACGCCAGCAAACUAUCAAGUUCUGGAAGGAGUGUGACCCUAGAUAUGCCGAACCUUUGCGAGAUUGCCGCCCUCAAGAUUCUCCUUUCAUCCAUCCAGAUGGCCAUAAUAGUGUACCUCGGCACCAAUCCAGGUCAAGCUUUCCAUCACUCACCGCUGAAGAAGAAGAAGUUGGAGUUUCUAACGCACCGUUAUUCAGAUUGGUUUUAUGCGAGUAGAUGAAAACCAAAUUGUUAAAUAUACCUAAUGGAAUAAAAGUGCAGUGCCGAA